GGGGGCAUAGCUCAGUAGCAGAGUGCAUGCUUAGCAUGCACGAGGUCCUGUGUUUAAUCCCCAGUACCUCCA
rnacentral:tRNA from 1 species